GGUUGUGGUGGCAAUCCUGGCACUGGGAGCUCUACAGAUGUGUAAGUGGUUGUGGUGGCGGUCCGGGCACUGUACAUCUGUAAGUCUCCCAGUGCCAGGAUUGCCACCACAGCC